UUAAGGAAUUGACGGGACCCCGCACAAGCGGUGGAUCAUGUUGUUUAAUUCGAUGAUACGCGAAGAACCUUACCAGGUCUUGACAUCCCCCGCGAUGCUUUAGAGAUAAAGCGGAGGUAUUCGGGGAGACAGGUGGUGCAUGGUUGUCGUCAGCUCGUGUCGUGAGAUGUUGGGUUAAGUCCCGCAACGAGCGCAACCCUUGUGUUUAGUUGCAAACAGGUCAAGCUGUGCACUCUAGACAGACUGCCGUGGACAACACGGAGGAAGGUGGGGAUGACGUCAAAUCAUCAUGCCCCUUAUGAUCUGGGCUACACACGUGCUACAAUGGCCGGUACAACGGGCAGCGAAGGAGCGAUCCGGAGCGAAUCCUAAAAAGCCGGUCCCAGUUCGGAUUGCAGGCUGAAACUCGCCUACAUGAAGUUGGAGUUGCUAGUAAUCGCGAAUCAGAAUGUCGCGGUGAAUGCGUUCCCGGGUCUU
rnacentral:rRNA from 1 species